rnacentral:rRNA from 1 species
GGGUGAAGAUAAGACGGAUUAGCGGCGGACGGGUGAGUAACACGUGAGUAACCUGCCUUUUACACAGGGAUAGCCUCGGGAAACCGGGAUUAAAACCUGAUGAAACUAUCAAAUCACAUGAUUAAGAAAGUUAAAACUCCGGUGGUAAAAGAUGGACUCGCGUCCCAUUAGCUAGUUGGUGAAGGUAACGGCCCACCAAGGCAACGAUGGGUAGCCGGCCUGAGAGGGUGAACGGCCACAUUGGAACUGAGAAACGGUCCAAACUCCUACGGGAGGCAGCAGUC